UUUUUCAGUAGUUUAAGACAUGCAAAUCGUUGUUUCCAAAGUCCUUAAUUAAUUAAUAUUUUUAAUAUUAAUGGGAUCCGGGGAUAAGGUGUAGAGGUGAGUAUGUUAAAUAAGAUACCCUAUAGUCUUCUUAGCUAGGAGAUACAAAGUAAAGGAAAAUUUCUGCUAUAGGAUUCUAUUUAAUUUGAUUAGGUAGUUGAUAGGGUAACGGCCUACCAAGCCAACGAUCAAAAGUCAAGUUUGAAAGAACCUCUGGCCACAUUGGGGAUGAAAUCUCCCAAGUAGUAAUAACACUACCAGCAGUCGAGAAUAUUAGUCAAUGCUCGUAAGAGUGAACUAGCUAACUGAAAUCAUAGAAUUUUUUCAAAUUCAUGAUGUCGUAAGGGAAAAUAAUGAUAAUACCUUACUAUGAGUGUCGUCCAAAUCUGGUGCCAGAAGACUCGGUAAGACCAGAGACGCAAACGUUAAUCAUCAUAAACAGGCGUAAAGGGUUUGUAGGCAGCUUUUAUAGGAUUCUUUUUAAAGAUAAUCUAAAUUGAAAGCUAGAAUCAAAAAGAGGUUAUAGUGUAUAACGCCUAGAGGAGGGCUGAUAUCCGUAGAUCCUAGGCAGAAUACUCAGGGCGAAGGCCACUUUCCACUAAUGAUUGACGCUGAGAAACGAAGGUUAGGGUAGGAAAUAGGAU
rnacentral:rRNA from 1 species